UGUAGUCAAUUUGUAGCCUCACUAACAAAUGCCACACAAAUCUCAGUUUGUUUUCACUGCAUUCACCACAGAGAUUGAAGUCCAAUUGCGAUUCAGUAGCCGACCAAAAACAACAAAAUUUAGAAAACCAAUUACUAUAAUUUAAUAGAAGUUACAGGCUUUCUUUCGACUAACAAAUGAUUAUGUGGUUUGAGUGUUUUAGUGGACGUUAGUUGUAAGGUGUACUUGGAUGCAACACACUAGGCCUUAGCUUAAUUUCCAACGUAAGGGUGAGGCUAUCCAGGACAGGGAAAAAGCCCCGAAGGCGCAAUCAUCAUAAUAAAUCAAGAAUCUAUAAUAAAAAAAUUUAAUUAUUUUAAGCCGUAAAUAUUCUAACCAGUGAUUAUCUAGCAUCUACCAUCGUAAAAACGGAGUUGUCGGAGCUGAGGCUAUACGAUAGAUUAUACAAACAUAAGUAGUACUAGGUUUAAACAGGUGUUUAUCGAUUACUGAGGAAAUGUAAAGUAAUAUAUAGCAAAAUUUCAUUUCAUUGUUUUGUUGCUACGUCCAGAAGUUUCGGAAUCAGAAUGUAUAACUCUCUAUCUUUACAUAGUACUGAGAAAAUUUGCUUUUCACGAAAAAGCUCCAUUUGAUAAUCUUCCACUUGCGACUCAGAAAGUGAAGAAUAUACACUUUGCAAAAAAUUUUUUUCCGAUUUCAAGUAAUGUUUACUUUCGUCGUGAAUAUUGUGUUCCAUAUGUUGUAACCAUAUUAAAAAGUCUGAUUCUAACAUAAUUUCCUUUACCAUUGGAAAAAAUGAAGAUUCUAAAUCUUCAUGCGCAUCGAUGAUUUCUGCCCAGUUCACCUGUAAUAGAAAACGGCGAUAUACGAGAUCUUUUAAGUAAAAAUACACGUCCUUAGUGAUUGUAGCUCUUUCUAAUAACUCUAAGGCCAAAUCAACUUCUUUGAAUGAACAUUCCCGUAAUGAAAAAGAAGAAAAGAAAUCUACCAUCUCACAAAGCGUAGUGUAUUCGUUUUGAAUUAAUCGCUCAACAGCACUAGACACGAGCCAGGCUCUGAUAGAGUUUUCUGAUAGAUUUACACAAUUGGAAGUUACUAUUGCUUCGACAGCUUCUCCCUCGUCUUCUGUAAUAUCCACAAGUGAUGAAAGCAUUUCAGCAUAUUGCUCUUGAAUAAGCAAAAUGGCUAAAUGAUUUUCAAUCACCUCAGUCUCAUUUGACAAUAUGAUAUUUUCACCUUCAAUUCUAUUAGUCCAUGAGUAGAGCUUUGCUAGAGCUAACUGCGAAAUUUUACCGAUAAUCCUGUUUUCUUCUGGUUCACAAUCACGGAAAAGAAUUUCGGAGGCUCGUCCAUAAUUUCCAUUUUGAGCUUCAAAUAUCCACAAAAGAUUCAAUAAAUCAUUGGCUUCAAAAAAAGAUAUUAAAAGUGAUUGAUACUCCAAGAAAUCAUGAAGCAAAGACGCAUACUGCUCUGUAUCAACCAAAUAAAAAAAAAUUACAUCUGCGAAUUCUUCUUUGUAUUUAUUUAAGCAUGCUUUUUGCUUUUGAAGCUUAAUGGUAGGAUCCUUUGGAUCUAGACAAUCCAGCAAAAUUACCAUUGUCUGAAAGUCUUUAACUUUUUCCGCCAAGUCGAUUGCCUUUUCCAAAUAUCCGACAGAAGCUUCUUUGUUAGCGGAAACAAGAAAGUGAGAAACAGCUUACCUAAAUAUUGUAACCAUUCUUUUCGUGAAUUGCCAAAUUCUUCUUCAAAUUUUUGAAAAUUAUGCGAUUUUACUAUGGUAUCAUCUGUUCCAUUGUGCAAAUCAAAGAUCAAAAGGCAAUUUUGUUCCACCAGAUGCAAAAUCUGCUUCCGAAGCUUGUUACUGACUUUUAAUAUGUGUGCAUCUUUCGAGUCACGUACAUCGCGAUGCAAUGAUAUCGAAUCUUCGAUCUGUUUUCGUAGUAAAUCUAAGUGAUCAACUUCAACUGUCCAAAGGUCGCUUCUAAUCACAGAGGAUGGAUCAGUAAAUUUUGAUAUUUUUUCUUGCCUAUAAGCAAGCUCAUUUCCAAAGAUAGUCUAAUAUUAGUAAACCUCGUUAUUUUAUAAGAAACAUACCCCAUAAACGUUAUUAACAUUUACUAUUACUUCAAUUCUUUUUUGUGCGUUGCUAGCAUCUUGGCCAGAUAUUUGAGAAUAUUCCGAGCUUAAAUGCUGUAAUAACAAAUUUAUAUUCAGGCACUUUUUCAAAAAAAGUUCAUCAAUAUUAUCAUUUGAAGACAUUAUUUUCAAUACUCGUCGAAGCAAGUUAGACAUUUUUUCAUUACACAUCAAUAAUUCAUAUAGGUCUGCCAAAGCACUGCAAUAGGCAACUUUUAGCCAUAAUUGAAGUCUAUUAGAAGGAGAUAAAUGUAGGUAUUUGAAGGCAACAAGAACUAUUU
rnacentral:lncRNA from 1 species